UACGGGGGGGGCAAGCGUUGUUCGGAAUUACUGGGCGUAAAGGGCUCGUAGGCGGCCAACUAAGUCAGACGUGAAAUCCCUCGGCUUAACCGGGGACAUGCGUCUGAUACUGGAUGGCUUGAGGUUGGGAGAGGGAUGCGGAAUUCCAGGUGUAGCGGUGAAAUGCGUAGAUAUCUGGAGGAACACCGGUGGCGAAGGCGGCAUCCUGGACCAAUUCUGACGCUGAGGAGCGAAAGCCAGGGGAGCAAACGGG
rnacentral:rRNA from 1 species